UUCGAAUCCACCAAGACUUUGAACAAAACACUUUUGAAGCACUGUUAAUGUUUUUUUGAGUUUUUGAUGGAUGUAGGUCUAGUGUUAUUUUUUUUGGGUUGUAAUUGUAUGCUUUCUGGCAGAGUUCAAGUUUAUAUGUGUAAUGUAGCAGCAGAGAUGAGGCAAAACCAACCCUUCUGAGUUUUACAUAUUCUUCCUCAUCUGGGUUCACAACCUAUUAGCCAACAACAUUUACUUUCCUAUUAUAUACUUGGGUGUCUUGUCCAUUGGUGCCAUUGCCACUGCCAUUAAUCGUCUCAAUAGUCUCCCUGAGAUACAGAAGCAAUUGAACCAUUGCUUAAGAAGAAAUGAUAAGCAGCAAAAAUGGGAGAUGUAACUACAGUAACUCUUUUGAUGGGUGUGGGGAUCUCAAGGAAAUGAAGAAAGGGUUGGAAACCCUGUUUUGUCUACUGCUCAGGGUAACAAAACUUGAAGAUAAUCAAGUAUGGAUCUCAUAGAUUUUUAAGUUCUUGGUUUCAAUGAAGUGGGUUUCUGUGAUAAUCUUGUUAUUUUGGAGCUUGGACUGAUAAUUGAGUGGAAAA